CCCUCCUCUAAUCAGCGCGGCUGAGAAUUCAGCUCCACACUUGAGCACGCGCCUGCUCCCCCGAGAGCGCCCCAGAACUCAUGCUGCUCAAAUAUGAAAUGGCUCCUGCCCCCGGGGCUGAGUCAAGGAGCCAGGUCCUUCGCUGAGCACCUACUAUGUGACGGGUGAAAACGGAUGCAGGUUGGAGACAGGAGCACACUGAACAGAGCACCAUCGGGGGUCAAGGUCAGGAGUGGAAUUCGGCUGUUCAAGGAAGAAACAAACGGAAGAACACGUGCAUGGGAAGGCUGAGACUGGGGGCAAAGGAGCCCUGGAGAACGUGGUGGAGGCCCUGCUGGAGGCCGGUGUGGGUGGCCGUGGCUGGCUUCCGGCUGCUCCGUCUCCACCUGGCCAGCGGGGCUCCAGCCUUUGCUCCUGUCUGGACCUCCAGGACAGUGGACAGAGGCUCCGAGCUCAGGCGAAGGGGCCCUGGCUCCCCGCUGACCUGCAGCACACCCUGGCCUCCCUGCCUCCUGUCCAGCCCCAAGCUGACCCAGGCAGGCCUGCAGACGCC